UUCCCACCCCCCAAGCACGGCUCCUACGGGAAGAACCAGCCUUGCCAGCUCUACUUCUAUCGCGCUGGCGGACCCAGGGGCGGGGGGGCAUUGCAGACAGGCCCCCCUCCCCUGCCCUCCCCGCUUUCCCACCGCCAACAUCAACCCGGGCACAAGCCAUCCCCCCCCCGCGCCCACAGACGCUGCCAAGGCAAGAGCAGCAGCCGCCCGCGUCGUAGGCAAGGGGGAAGGACGCCCCCAGCUACCUGCUGCCCAGUCCUCGACGGGCAGGAGGGAACCUGCGAGGCCGAGGAGGGCGCGAAGCCCCCGGUAGCGUGGACGAGGAGCAGCCCUGCGACGCAAAGCGCGGGACCCCAGAAUACCGCUCGAGGCGUCACGGGCUUGGGACUGGGGGGCCGUGAGGCGCCAACAGGAGCGGGGGGGGGGCUUCCGUCUGUGCUUCGCCGCGGCUGCCUGACAGNAGCCCAUGCUGCCCGCGGGCGGCCUUGGCAAGACGGGCCGGGCCAAGUCAAGCAGGGCGGGCGGGAGNUGGGUGGGCCGCUUCGCGAGACUCGCUCGCCUGGUCUACCUCGCAGGGCGGGUGGGGGAGAUGCAAGACGAGGGAGAGGUGGGGGGCUCCGCGCCUGCCUUCCACCUGGACGCCCGCAAAUGAGCGGCGGCGGCGGCGCCUUUCUCCAGCCGGCCCGGAUGGACGACGACGAGUCGGAACGGAGUGCUUUUCAGGUUCCCGCCAAAAACUCGCCGGCCCCGCCCCUGACGCCACUUUCAGCGACGCUUUUGCGAGUAUUUCCCCGAGCGAGAACAGUCCCUCCCGCUUUCCGCCCAGUCUGGCAGAGAUCCUCCUUGGACUACAAGUCCCAAGACUUCCGGCAGUCGCACUCAAGAAAGCGACUUUUCCGAGCUGCGCGGUGCUUCAUCAAUCAGCUGAGAGGAAACAUCGCCGUGAAUGCUGGGAGUUGUAGUUUUCUAUGUGUUCCCUUGCGCCAGCCAAUUCCAGGGAGCGCCUGCCAAUUUCUCUUCUGA
rnacentral:lncRNA from 1 species